AAGGCUAUGGAGCAUCAGCUGGUGUUACAAAUGGACAUGGUGGCAAAUCACAGGGAGGAAAUCCAGCAUCUUUACCCAAUGGGAAUGGAGCUUACUCAAACGGACACGGAGGUCAAGCUGGCCCGGCCAAUGGACAACCAAUGAAAGGCAAUGGCUACGGUGCUCAGGCUGGUGGAUACGGUGGACAAGGAACUAAAGGCAACGGUUAUGGAGCUGCAGCUGGUGUGGGAAAUGGAGCUAAACCUAACAAUAAUGGUGCUGCAGCCGGUGGACUUGGAAUGAAAGGCAAU